GGGCCCGCACAAGCGGUGGAGUAUGUGGUUUAAUUCGAUGCAACGCGAAGAACCUUACCAGGGUUUGACAUCCUGCGAACCUCUGGGAAACCGGAGGGUGCCUUCGGGAACGCAGUGACAGGUGGUGCAUGGCUGUCGUCAGCUCGUGUCGUGAGAUGUUGGUUAAGUCCCGCAACGAGCGCAACCCACGUCUUUAGUUGCCAGCAUUUAGUUGGGCACUCUAGAGAGACCGCCGGUGAUAAACCGGAGGAAGGUGUGGAUGACGUCAAGUCAUCAUGCCCCUUACAUCCUGGGCUACACACGUACUACAAUGCUACGGACAAAGAGCAGCAAGUUCGCGAGGACAAG
rnacentral:rRNA from 1 species